rnacentral:rRNA from 1 species
UACGUAGGGGGCUAGCGUUGUCCGGAUUUAUUGGGCGUAAAGAGCUCGUAGGCGGCCGUUCGCGUCGGAUGUGAAAGCUCAGGGCUCAACCCUGAGACGCCAUUCGAUACGGGACGGCUAGAGGUAGGUAGGGGAAAGUGGAAUUCCUGGUGUAGCGGUGAAAUGCGCAGAUAUCAGGAGGAACACCGGUGGCGAAGGCGGGUCUCUGGGCCGGAACUGACGCUAAGGAGCGAAAGCGUGGGGAGCGAACAGG